GUCAUCUCGCACGUCUCGUGUAUUGCUCCUCAUCAGGCUGGCGUCUGCUUCCGUUGUCCUAAGCGGCCCAUCUCCGCAAAGAUGUUGCGCAGAGCCUUGCGCCGGAGUGCCACCCUCUUGGC
rnacentral:lncRNA from 1 species